AGUAAGAUAAACUAUAUAUAAGUUAUAGGUUUCAUAAUCCUAAUAAGGUUUAUCCUCUUACUU
rnacentral:tRNA from 1 species